rnacentral:rRNA from 1 species
AGUGAACGCUGGCGGUAGGCCUAACACAUGCAAGUCGAACGGCAGCACAGUAAGAGCUUGCUCUUACGGGUGGCGAGUGGCGGACGGGUGAGGAAUACAUCGGAAUCUACUUUUUCGUGGGGGAUAACGUAGGGAAACUUACGCUAAUACCGCAUACGACCUACGGGUGAAAGCAGGGGAUCUUCGGACCUUGCGCGAUUGAAUGAGCCGAUGUCGGAUUAGCUAGUUGGCGGGGUAAAGGCCCACCAAGGCGACGAUCCGUAGCUGGUCUGAGAGGAUGAUCAGCCACACUGGCACUGAGACACGGUCCAGACUCCUACGAGAGGCAGCAGUGGGGAAUAUUGGACAAUGGGCGCAAGCCUGAUCCAGCCAUACCGCGUGGGUGAAGAAGGCCUUCGGGUUGUAAAGCCCUUUUGUUGGGAAAGAAAAGCAGCAGGUUAAUACCCCGCUGUUCUGACGGUACCCAAAGAAUAAGCACCGGCUAACUUCGUG